CGUUAGUGAAGUGAAUACUCACCGACGGUAUCGGAAUGUGCCAUUUGGACCGGUCGGCAGCAGCUACGGUUGCCGGUCCCGCACUGAAAAACGACAGUGGUGACGGGUGAGCUCCCAGAAGCAGAAGAAUGACAGGCAACACCUGAAGCCACGCAGCCGCCGCCAUCUUCACAGCCGUGGAGUGCCUACCGAAAGCAUUUCACCCUCUUCCGGUUCGUCCCGCCUUCUUCCGGCUCUGCUCUAAGGGCGGGAUUAUCCGGGUCCUGGAAACGUCGCGGAGCUUGUUUGCUGUGCGGCGUAGCGGCCCCUCUCUCAGACAGUCGUCUGUGCGCCGUGAGACUUUGGACCUACUGCGCAGGCGUCAUCCUGUUGGAACCUGGUCAGCUGGGUUAGAGAGAUCGCUACAUGCCAGCCUGGCCUGAGUCUUUUCUGUCUCCCAGCCGUUAAAGGUUUUAGGACCAGGCAGGCACCCCGUGCAGGAUUUGGCUCUCUACUUCCGCUCGCCCCAGCCCUUCAUCCCUUCUAAGUCAAUGUCAGACUUUGGGGCCAGAAAGUCUGGAAAAGCCCUAAGCCUGGCUGCCCAAGUGGCGUCUAGUAGACUCAUUGCGUACACGCCCUCACCGCCGCCCAGUUUCGGUUCCUAACAAAAGCACGUUCCUCAUCAGCCACCCAUAAUCAAGACAAAUUUGCCAAAUAAAUCAUUGUAGAAACGCUAGUUUGGGCCUGAAAAAUUCCAGGAGCAAGAGUCAAGAUUUGUCACUCCAUGAGAAUCUGGAGGGGACUCCCUUCCCAGAAACUUGACGAUGAAGUACUGGUUGUAAUUUUAGAAAGACACCCAAUCGGCUUUUUUAAAAGAUCGCCCAGGGCCCUUGUCCUGAGAGCUGGGAGCUGGUCGGAGUGACAGAGAAGCCAUGGAAGCAGCAGUGAAAGAGGAAAUAAG
rnacentral:lncRNA from 1 species